rnacentral:misc_RNA from 1 species
ACAUCUGCAAGAAAAACAACUGCUACUACAAAACAUUUUAUUACAACCCCUUUUCAGCAAUGUCAACUUAACCUGUUAGCGCAGCAUUAAGGGCACUGUGAACAUCCACCCCGAUCUGGGCCUCAGCCUUCUCCAAAUCAGUUGAGGCUGAGUUGAGCUUCUGGGUGAAGUCGGCAAGCCCCUUCUGGACAAGACUGGGAUCAAUGCGGUCCAGAGGAACGGCCUCCACAGCUACAAUGUCAGCAAAAGAGUUUGCAUGGAUAAAUGCAAACCCACUGCUGAUAAAGUACUUGGACACAUCAUUUCCUUCAUGCACAGAAAGAACCCCUGGCUUGAGCUCUGCUAUGGUGGCAACAUGUCCAGGCAAAACACCCAUAUGGCCAGUUGUUGCCGGGAUGAUGACCAUAUCAACCUCCUUUCCGGCGAUCUCGGAUUGGUACGGCAGAACGAAGUUGACGGUGAGCUUGGUGGGGAUGGAGGACGGCGUCGGUGGGCGCGGCUUCAUGAAGGAGAGCGGAGUCUUCGGCGGAUCUAGGUUUGGGGCCACCUUCUUCCACGCCUCGAUGAACGAGGGAUCCCCGACCGUCUCAUUCUGCAGAUCAGUGGCGAAGGCGCGGACCGCGGCGGCGGGGCGGCCGCGGGAGGCGGCGCCGGCGGCUCGGGUCAGCAAGCGUAGGGCAUUCAUGAUCUCGCUCUCUG